UUCUAACGAGUAGUUGAUGCUGUUGCUGCUGGUUGGUUCUGAGACUGUUGCUGUAGAUCGGGGAAUAUCUUAUAGAGGAGAAGGAAUUUAUUCCGUAGAGAGAUAUUGCUAGGAGGCUAUUAUUCCGUUAUGGUUGUUUCAAUGAUCUUGAGACAUUAUUGUUUUCUUUUUAUUGGAACGUAAUACACGUAUCGAUCCUUCUUAAUUGGAAUUUAUUCCCACGGGAUUGCACAGUGGGAUGAUUUAGGUGUCGUUGAUAUUUCUUUUUUUGGGUUUCUUUAUUUUGACUUGUCGAUCCUCUGGAAUUUCAUUAAGGGUCUUUCAAUUCGAAUGAUUUGUAGAUUAACGUGCUGAUUGUUAAAGGUUUAUUAAAGAAGCAUUAGGUCACCGGUACGUGUUCUUUUGGUAACCGCUAUUUGGACGUGACCUUAGUGACUGAAAAGGUACCACCAACUUAGAUUUGCCGAUUCAGAUAAGAAACACAGCCAAACGAAGGGUCUAAGCGAAAUCACAAGGGCCAGUUUCUUCUUCGUGGCCCGAAGGUUGCCUGGGGUGAGCAACCUUAUUUGGCGAGGCGGUCUGCCGACUUACUGACAAUCAGCGAUGGCUUUAAGGAACACAUUCUACGUUCUUUCUAAGAAGUCGUGACAACCGAUCCACUGCGUUCUCCAGGACGAGACAGAAUCACGUGGGCGUCUAGGACAUCGUCCUCUCUUCGGGAUCCCUUUUAGGGUGCGUACACCCCAAGGUGUGCGGAACCUCAUGGAUCCUAAAUCGUGGCGUUCGCAUGGUAGAUGCUGGAAGGAUGCCCGAAGGAUCUCGCAGAUCGUUAGAGCCAUUGUGAAGUGGUCAUUGCGCCCACGUUCGCCAGCCUAACCAGUUAUCGGCUCUCUCUUUAGAGUCUCGCUCGGUAAUACAUACUUGUCGGUAGCUGGGCAACAUAUUCGUUUGAAUAUUCGGACAAAGGACAGCCUAACGCGAGACACGUACUUUGGCCCGGGUGUUCAAGUUAAUCCUACACUGUUGGAUACAGUACCUCGGUACACGUGUGCCGGCAUUACGCAUACGAGAGACUCUUAAGCGUCUCGUUAGUUAAGAAAUUUUCAUAUGACAGGCAUAGAAAACCGGAAACGUAUGUGUCAUAGGAUUACAGCAAUACGUGAUGGACAUUGAGUAUAAACUAUAUCUAUUUCAUAAUACUGAACUCAUUGUCAUCCAUAGUCACUUUCGACUCUGUAUCACUUUUUAAUUCGUAGGAUUUAAAUUUACUAUCAGAAGUACCGUCAUUGAUUCUAAUCAAUUGUAAAAGAUUAUGGCAUCGCACUAUGACUUCUCUCGAACAAGUAUCUAGUUUCAACUGUAGGAAAGACUCGAGUCUAUCUUAUAUGGACAUGCAAGGCAAGGCAAGCAGUGUAGCACGCGUCGGCAUUCUGAAGUGCGGUGUUCCUUUCCGGUCUGCGUGCCUGUUCCGUUACCUAGAUGGACUACGUUAAACGUCGUGAUUGUGCUAAUGGGUCAAAUGGGGUACAGGACAUUCGGAAUUGAACUUACAUCCGGAGUAUUUAAUUCGACAAGUGUCUAGAGUGGAUUGACUAAUGCGGGAGCAGUUCGAUCCUGAAUUUUGAACUAUGGAGCUUAGAUAAACGUUAAUUAGUUUAUAUGUAAAAUGAUUGAAUACUAUAAAUUUUAAUUUCUAAUAAAACAAGGAUUAGGCUGAUCCAUUUUAUGAAUCUGAGAGUAUCAAUGUCCUGGUUAGAUAAUUAUCACUUAUUAUCGGAUAAGCAUUCAAAUCAAGUGGUCGAUGGGUCAAGCUAUCGAUCGUCGAUCGUUUUGCGGUUUUGGAGCUUUAUAAGGAGAGAGUUCUGGCAACUGCGAUAAUGCGCCAGUGAGCAUCUGCACGUACGCGCCUAGUCAGGACCGCUGAAGAUCACCGGUCGAUUCACUUGGAUAGUCCGAUUAAAGAAUUGAUAUUUAAUAAUAAUUUUAUCACGCGAAAAUAAUGAUCUCGGUACACUCAUAA